rnacentral:rRNA from 1 species
UACGGAGGGGGCUAGCGUUGUUCGGAAUUACUGGGCGUAAAGCGUACGUAGGCGGCUUUGUAAGUUAGAGGUGAAAGCCCGGGGCUCAACCCCGGAAUUGCCUUUAAGACUGCAUCGCUUGAACGUCGGAGAGGUGAGUGGAAUUCCGAGUGUAGAGGUGAAAUUCGUAGAUAUUCGGAAGAACACCAGUGGCGAAGGCGACUCACUGGCCCGAUACUGACGCUGACGGCGCGAAA